AGGGCACCACCAGGAGUGGAGCCUGCGGCUUAAUUUGACUCAACGCGGGAAAUCUCACCCGGCCCUGACACUGUAAGGAUUGACAGAUUGAUAGCUCUUUCAUGAUUCGGUGGGUGGUGGUGCAUGGCCGUUCUUAGUUGGUGGAGCGAUUUGUCUGGUUAAUUCCGAUAACGAACGAGACUCUAGCCUACUAAAUAGUGAAUAAAUUCUUUGGUUUGUUAACUUCUUAGAGGGAUAAGUGGUGUUUAGCCACACGAGAUUGAGCAAUAACAGGUCUGUGAUGCCCUUAGAUGUUCGGGGCUGCACGCGCGCUACACUGAAGAAUAGAGCGUGUAAUUAAAGCCUUUUUCCGGAAAGGAAAUGGGGUAACCUUGGAACUUUUUUCGUUGCUUUGGGGAUAGGGGAUUGGAAUUAUUUUCCUUUAACGAAGGAAUUCCUAAGUAAGUGCGGGUCAUAUCCUCGCGUUGAUUUAGUCCCUGCCCUUUGAAACACCGGCCGUGCUACUACCGAUGGAUGGCU
rnacentral:rRNA from 1 species